UGGGGAAUCUUCCGCAAUGGACGAAAGUCUGACGGAGCAACGCCGCGUGAGUGAAGACGGCCUUCGGGUUGUAAAGCUCUGUGAUCCGGGACGAAAGAGCCUGAGGUAAAUAGCCUAAGGAAGUGACGGUACCGGAAAAGCAAGCCACGGCUAACUACGUGCCAGCAGCCGCGGUAAUACGUAGGUGGCAAGCGUUGUCCGGAAUUAUUGGGCGUAAAGCGCGCGCAGGCGGCUUACUAAGUCCAUCUUAAAAGUGCGGGGCUUAACCCCGGAAUGGGAUGGAAACUGGAAAGCUGGAGUAUCGGAGAGGAAAGUGGAAUUCCUAGUGUAGCGGUGAAAUGCGUAGAGAUUAGGAAGAACACCGGUGGCGAAGGCGACUUUCUGGACGAAAACUGACGCUGAGGCGCGAAAGCGUGGGGAGCAAACAGG
rnacentral:rRNA from 1 species